UUUUUUUUUUUUUUUUUUCCGCGCCCGGUUCGCUUGACGAUCUCACUUGGCGCUUAAGGCGGGCCGGAAAUCGCGUCAAACGCCUUCGGCAUUUGGCCGCGGUGUCGGGCUCGGAACGAGCUUUCCGANACGUGCUCACGGGCCCCGUGAGUCCAUCGGGAUCGAAAGUUAGGCACGAGAACGGGGAGACGCGCGGAUUGCGUUUAUUGAGAAAUUCCCCAUUUCGUAUUUCGUCGCAUGUAAGUAGCGUUGCGUUAACCGCGCGAUGGGUCCUUGAGAGCGGGAAUGUAGAACACUCACAGAGNUNNUUCGAGAGGAGUNACCGAUCGNNUCAAANCUGGCCCANGCANGACNAAAAUGC
rnacentral:misc_RNA from 1 species